rnacentral:rRNA from 1 species
UACGUAGGCGGCUUUUUAAGUCGGAUGUGAAAUCCCUGAGCUUAACUUAGGAAUUGCAUUCGAUACUGGUCAGCUAGAGUAUGGGAGAGGAUGGUAGAAUUCCAGGUGUAGCGGUGAAAUGCGUAGAGAUCUGGAGGAAUACCGAUGGCGAAGGCAGCCAUCUGGCCUAAUACUGACGCUGAGGUACGAAAGCAUGGGGAGCAAACA